ACGGAAGGCAGCAGUAGGGAAUCUUCCGCAAUGGACGAAAGUCUGACGGAGCAACGCCGCGUGAGUGAGGAAGGCCUUCGGGUCGUAAAGCUCUGUUGUGAGGGAAGAAGCGGUACCGUUCGAAUAGGGCGGUACCUUGACGGUACCUCACCAGAAAGCCACGGCUAACUACGUGCCAGCAGCCGCGGUAAUACGUAGGUGGCAAGCGUUGUCCGGAAUUAUUGGGCGUAAAGCGCGCGCAGGCGGCUUCUUAAGUCUGAUGUGAAAUCUCGGGGCUCAACCCCGAGCGGCCAUUGGAAACUGGGGAGCUUGAGUGCAGAAGAGGAGAGUGGAAUUCCACGUGUAGCGGUGAAAUGCGUAGAGAUGUGGAGGAACACCAGUGGCGAAGGCGACUCUCUGGUCUGUAACUGACGCUGAGGCGCGAAAGCGUGGGGAGCAAACAGGAUUAGAUACCCUGGUA
rnacentral:rRNA from 1 species